AUUUAUAAAAGAAUUAUUUGGAGAGGGUUGUUUGGUCUUGAAAAUAAUUUUUGUUUUUUGUUUCCUUAUUUCUAGGAUUACAGCGGACAAUUACAUGGAUACUUCAGAUACAAAAAGGAGAAUAAAAGGGAGAAAAUGACGUGAUAACAAUUAAAUUAAUUCAAAUGUCAUAUUUUUUUUAUUUGAUAAGUUGUAAUAUUUGCCUUUUUCACUUGAAUUUAUAUAUUUGUUAUUAUUAUUUGACUAAUUUUUACCAAGCCAAAAAAAUUAAAAUUAAAAUUAAAAAAACAAGAAAAGUGAAAAAUUAACCGGUUUAAUUUUUAUAAAAAAAAAAGGAAAAAAAAAAAAAAGAAGGGGAAAGGCAAAUUCAAACACGACUCAACUCCUCUAUCAAUAAAAAAGGUAUGACAUUUAAUGCUGGUUACGUGUCAUUUCAUUUGAGUUACUACUCUAUAUCUUUUAGAAAGAAAAAAAAAAAAGAACAGGUUGGUGAAGAAACAGAGGAACCAACGCCUGCCGUCUCCGUCUCUCUCUCUCGGGAGUUGCUGUUUUAUUAGGCUUCCAAAAAGUGUUUGUUGAGGGUCUCUUUCAUAUCACCAGGAUAAAUUUUUUAAAGGACUUGCUUCUGCAUAUUGUGCAAGAUCAGAUCCAGGAUGGAGGGUGGGUUGAUUGAAAAUAUGAGGGAUGAGAAUGAGAAUAAUGUCAAAAAAGAAGUAGCUGAAACUGUUCGACCUGAGGUGGAUUUGAAUGAUGACCUGCAGCAGCACAUUGGUUCUGUAGACAUUAUACAAACUAAUAUAGGUAAUUGCAAAGGUAAGGAAAAUGUUUGUCAAGGUGUAGCACAGGCAGAUAUUGACUCCUCUGGUGAGGUAAACAUGGAGGCUACAAUAUUAUCUGAUGAUGUUAUACGGGCAGGAGGUUUUGGGGCUAGAGAUGAUAUAAGUAGUUUUCUUCCAGUUGCAAGUGACUCCACUGACUUUGAAGCAUCUCUUCUUGAUGCCCGAGACUAUGAAGAACCACAGGAAAAGAUAUGCAGACCGGGUCUUGGCUGGACAGAAGCUACAAAGUAAGAAUAAGUUUUGCUGUUAGUAUCACAUACGGAGUUCCUGUGAUAUAUUCUUCUGUGGUUGGUAUCUUCAUGAAAGAAAUGAACCUAUUUAACUUACUGAAGCUCUUUAGCAUGGCAAAAUGAAGUCUUUGUAAGCCUCUUUUUACACUAGUCUGUUGUAUAAUUAAUAUUCUGUUGACGACUGAUAUUGUGUCUAAGAUGUCAACAAAAAUUUCAUAUAGCACACAUCACCCUCUUUAUGCUUAAUACUGCUUGGAAAUCAAUGGAAUUGCAAAAUUUAUAUUAUUGAUA